AGCUAAUACCGGAUAAUAUUUUGAACCGCAUGGUUCAAAAGUGAAAGACGGUCUUGCUGUCACUUAUAGAUGGAUCCGCGCUGCAUUAGCUAGUUGGUAAGGUAACGGCUUACCAAGGCAACGAUGCAUAGCCGACCUGAGAGGGUGAUCGGCCACACUGGAACUGAGACACGGUCCAGACUCCUACGGGAGGCAGCAGUAGGGAAUCUUCCGCAAUGGGCGAAAGCCUGACGGAGCAACGCCGCGUGAGUGAUGAAGGUCUUCGGAUCGUAAAACUCUGUUAUUAGGGAAGAACAUAUGUGUAAGUAACUGUGCACAUCUUGACGGUACCUAAUCAGAAAGCCACGGCUAACUACGUGCCAGCAGCCGCGGUAAUACGUAGGUGGCAAGCGUUAUCCGGAAUUAUUGGGCGUAAAGCGCGCGUAGGCGGUUUUUUAAGUCUGAUGUGAAAGCCCACGGCUCAACCGUGGAGGGUCAUUGGAAACUGGAAAACUUGAGUGCAGAAGAGGAAAGUGGAAUU
rnacentral:rRNA from 1 species